rnacentral:rRNA from 1 species
ACAACGGAGAGUUUGAUCCUGGCUCAGGAUGAACGCUAGCGGCAGGCUUAAUACAUGCAAGUCGAGGGAGAAUUCGCCUUCGGGCGGAGGGAACCGGCGAACGGGUGCGUAACGCGUACACAAUCUACCUCUGAGUGGGGAAUAGUAUCGGGAAACUGAUAGUAAUACCCCAUAAAAUUAUGUUGAGGCAUCUUGAUAUAAUCAAAGGCAAGACUGCUCAGAGAUGGGUGUGCGUCUGAUUAGGUAGUUGGAGAGGUAAUGGCUCACCAAGCCGACGAUCAGUAGCGGGCGUGAGAGCGCGAACCGCCACACGGGCACUGAGACACGGGCCCGACUCCUACGGGAGGCAGCAGUAAGGAAUAUUGGGCAAUGGAGGGAACUCUGACCCAGCCAUGCCGCGUGCAGGAAGAAGGUUCUAUGGAUUGUAAACUGCUUUUCUGCGGGAAGAACCGCCUGUAUUGAUACGGGUCUGACGGUACCGCAGGAAUAAGCACCGGCUAACUCCGUNNNNNNNNNNCGGAGGGUGCAAGCGUUAUCCGGAUUUACUGGGUUUAAAGGGUGCGUAGGUGGUGGGAUAAGUUAGUGGUGAAAGCUUACAGCUCAACUGUAAAAUCGCCAAUAAUACUGUUUCACUUGAAUUCGUUCGAGGCUGGCGGAAUGUGACGUGUAGCGGUGAAAUGCAUAGAUAUGUCACAGAACACCGAUUGCGAAGGCAGCUGGCUAGGACGAGAUUGACGCUGAAGCACGAAAGCGUGGGUA